rnacentral:tRNA from 1 species
UUAUCCUUAGCUCAGGUGGAAGAGCGGCGCCAUUGAAGCGUAUGUCACCGGUUCAACUCCGGUAGGAUAAA